GGGCGGCGUUCUAUACAUGCAAGUCGAGCGGACAGAAGGGAGCUUGCUCCCGGAUGUUAGCGGCGGACGGGUGAGUAACACGUGGGUAACCUGCCUGUAAGACUGGGAUAACUCCGGGAAACCGGAGCUAAUACCGGAUAGUUCCUUGAACCGCAUGGUUCAAGGAUGAAAGACGGUUUCGGCUGUCACUUACAGAUGGACCCGCGGCGCAUUAGCUAGUUGGUGGGGUAAUGGCUCACCAAGGCGACGAUGCGUAGCCGACCUGAGAGGGUGAUCGGCCACACUGGGACUGAGACACGGCCCAGACUCCUACGGGAGGCAGCAGUAGGGAAUCUUCCGCAAUGGACGAAAGUCUGACGGAGCAACGCCGCGUGAGUGAUGAAGGUUUUCGGAUCGUAAAGCUCUGUUGUUAGGGAAGAACAAGUGCGAGAGUAACUGCUCGCACCUUGACGGUACCUAACCAGAAAGCCACGGCUAACUACGUGCCAGCAGCCGCGGUAAUACGUAGGUGGCAAGCGUUGUCCGGAAUUAUUGGGCGUAAAGGGCUCGCAGGCGGUUUCUUAAGUCUGAUGUGAAAGCCCCCGGCUCAACCGGGGAGGGUCAUUGGAAACUGGGAAACUUGAGUGCAGAAGAGGAGAGUGGAAUUCCACGUGUAGCGGUGAAAUGCGUAGAGAUGUGGAGGAACACCAGUGGCGAAGGCGACUCUCUGGUCUGUAACUGACGCUGAGGAGCGAAAGCGUGGGGAGCGAACAGGAUUAGAUACCCUGGUAGUCCACGCCGUAAACGAUGAGUGCUAAGUGUUAGGGGGUUUCCGCCCCUUAGUGCUGCAGCUAACGCAUUAAGCACUCCGCCUGGGGAGUACGGUCGCAAGACUGAAACUCAAAGGAAUUGACGGGGGCCCGCACAAGCGGUGGAGCAUGUGGUUUAAUUCGAAGCAACGCGAAGAACCUUACCAGGUCUUGACAUCCUCUGACAACCCUAGAGAUAGGGCUUUCCCUUCGGGGACAGAGUGACAGGUGGUGCAUGGUUGUCGUCAGCUCGUGUCGUGAGAUGUUGGGUUAAGUCCCGCAACGAGCGCAACCCUUGAUCUUAGUUG
rnacentral:rRNA from 1 species